rnacentral:tRNA from 1 species
GAGGGUACAGCUCAGUGGUAGAGUGUGUGCUUAGCAUGCACGAGGUCCUGGGUUCAAUCCCCAGUACCUCCA